rnacentral:lncRNA from 1 species
UCGCCCCUCUCAGCCCUUCCAUCCUUUCCAUCCCUUCAACCUUCCUUCAUCUCCAUCCUUCAUCCAUCCACCCCUUUUCCCUUGUCCUUCAUCCCUCCAUCCCUUUUCCCUUGUCCUUCCAUCUCUCCAACCUCUUCCAUCCCUCCAUCCUUCCUCCAUCCCCCAACCUCUGCCAUCCCUCACCCUUCUGCUCCUUCCCUGCUCCUCCUCCAGUUUCAUCCUCCAGUCCCUUCAGCCCUUCUACCUCUUUUCCCUCUUCUUCAUCUCUCCAUCCCUCCUCCAUCCUCCACCCUUCCAUUCCUAUUCUAUCCCCCCCAACCUCUUCCAUCCCUCACCCUUCCCUUCCUCUUCCAUCCCCCUCAACCUCCUCCAUCCCUUGUCUUUCCCUUCUUCCCUCCCUCCAUCCAUCCUUCAUCCCUCCAUCCCUCACCCUUCCACCUCUUCUCCCUCCCUCUUCCAUCCCUCCAUCCUUCCUCGAUCCCUCCCUUUUCCCUACCCUCUCUGGCCCUUCCAUCCCUAUUCCAUCCCUCCAUCCUUCCUCCAUCUCCCAUUCCUCCCUCCUCAUCGUCCUCCAUUCCUCUCUCCACCCUCCUCACCUGGUGCAGUCGGCCUAUUUCCAUCCCUGCCAACCUGUCCUCCGAGUCGUCGCAUAGCUUCUACGCUGUCAGUCCAUCCACCCCUCUUCCAUCCCUCACUCUUCCCUUCUUCUUCCAUCCCUCCAUCCUUCAUCUCUCCCUCCACCCUCUUCUGCCCUUCCACCCCUAUAACCUUCCUCCAUCUCUCCAUUCUGUCUAUCCUCAUCCAUCCACUCCUUUUCCCUCACCCUUCCAUCCCCCUAACCUCCUCCAUCCCUCACCCUUCCCUUCUUCUUCCCUCCCUCCCUCCAUUCUUCAUCCCUCCAUCCCUCACCCUUCUACCUCUUUUCCCUCCUUCUUCCAUCUCUCCAUCCCUCCCUCCAUCCUCCUCCACCCUUCCAUCCCUAUUCCAUCCCUCCAACCUUCCUCCAUCUCCAUCCUUCUCCAUCCCUCCCUCCCCCCCAACCCCCCUGUCCUCAACCCCCCCCCAGGUGAUAUUACCCACCCCCAUUCCGA